GCAGCCCCAGGAGGUCCUUGGCAUCUCCAUCAGCUGACAGCCCUGGAAACAUUCACCAUUCCUCAGUACGGCCAGGGUCUUCUUCAGGCUCCAACAGGAUGCAUCUGUCUCCCUUGACAGCUCCAGCCCAAUUGAGCUGCAGGGCUGGCCUUUUAUACUUCCCCUUCCUGUCUUGCCCCUCAGCUUCCAGCAGGUGAGGUGUGGCAGGCAGCACAUUGUGGCUCCUCCUUGUCAAUCUCUGGGGGUGGCUACACCUCCUCACUACAAAACUUCAGCAGUCAGCCCCACAAUGCCGCAGACAGUUAAGUUGGUGGAAAUGCUCCUGCUGAGGACGCGCACCACUAACAGAAGGAGCAUAGUGUCGAUGGGAAACAGUGCUUUGAUUACUGCGGUGGCUGUAUAUUGACUUAACUGCAAAGAAGGGAUGAUCGGGAAUGGAAACCUAUCUUUCAAGAAGAGACUAAAGGAGCUUGGCUUGCUUAGCCUAGCAAAGUGAAGGCUAAGAGGAGACAUGACUGUUCUAUAAAUUACAUUUGGGGGUAAAUACCAGGGAAGGAGAAGAGCUAUGUAAGCUAAAGGACAAAGUUGACACAAGAACAAAUGGGAAUAAGUCCAUGAAUAAAUUUAGAUUGGAACUUAGAAGACAAUUUCUAACAAUGAGAUUUUGGAACAGCCUUCCAAUACAAGUUAUGGGAGCUAACAACUUUUAAGAUGGAGCUCGAUAAGUUUAUGAAUGGAAUAUUAUCAUGCAGUUGCCUAUGACAGCAUGGACUAGACUCAGUGACCUAGGAGGUCCCUUCCAGAACUUUUUCCAAUUCCAAUGCAUCUUUUUUGAGAUGGGGAGACCACAUCUGCAUGCAGCAUUCAAGAUAGACACCUUUGAAAGAAAAGCUCCCAAGGGAGCUAAUCGAGAGUGAAACUGAGAAUAACUCUGAAAAGCAAACAAUGAGGUUUAUUGCAAGUGACAAAGGAAAGGGACUACUGAAUUAUUGUUUAUGUGAUUUUAUUGUGUUAAAGUGAAUAUUAAGAUUAAGUUACUUACUUUUAGCAUGUCACUUUGUAUAUGUAAAGAAAAAAAGAUAAUCACUUCAAAGGAUCAUUGUCAGAAAUAAGUGAUAUGCAAUGGUAAAUUGGCUGGAAAAAUGGAGUAGUACUUAGCUGACAUUUGUUGAAUAGAGAUUUUAUUCCCUCUGAGAAAACCCUUAAGAACUGUGUCCACAGUUCAUCAGCCUCAAAGUAAAUGGAAGUAACGUCAAACCAUACUAGUAUAACUUUGAAAGCAAACAGCUUGUGCUCAGGGUAUGACUGUUGCUGGAAGUCACAUUGUCUAGAUGAAUGUAGCUGAUAUAUAAUAGUCAGAUAUAGGACUAAGGAUGAGUGAACUACAAAAGACUUAAAAUGUGGGUUUAGUUCAGAUAAACAUAGUAAAAGUUUGGAUGCUCAUCUGCAAUUAUCUGAACUGUGUGUGUCAGAAAGACUGUUGUAAGUCUCAUGAGAAACAGGCUUGUUUGUGAGAUUACUAGCACUUCUGUUUCUGAUCCCAGCUGGAAUAGUAUGAGAGCAGCCAGCUUCUUGCGUGGUGUUUUGCUUUCAGAAGCUGGCAAAAGAUCACUUCUAAAAAUGGAUGGAAGUUUGGGGUGAGACCGUUAUUCUAUCCAAACUUGUUUGCCUAUCCUUUGCUGCUGAAACAGACAAUGGAAAGGAAAGCACAAAAUAUAGUGGAAAUUAGUUUUCUGUACAGUACAGAAUGCUCAGUAAGAGUUGUCAGGUUUAUUUAAGUAAAAAGGAAAUUAAAUACAGUACCUUUGAGAUAACAGUUAAGUGGCUGAUUUUGUAUUUUUUUUUUUCCUCAUAGGGAUGGUACAAGGAGGGAAAAAACAGGAGGGAAACAUCCGAUAUUUGCAUAUUUUACAAGUAAAGAAAAUUGUCCUUUCCCCCUUAAGGGCAAAGACAAUUUUCAAGUUUCAUUUAUAAAAAUUUACUGAGUCCAUAAUGACCCCUCUCAAUUAAACCUACCACCUCACACAGACAACUGUGAUGACCACAGGGCUUGGCCCUAAAAUGAUGGGGUUUGUGUACAUAUAACUCAUUGCAUGAUUGGGGCCUUAGGCAUACACACAGGGUAAAAUUUUCCAAAAUGUCUAAAUAUCUUAGGAGCCUAAAUUCCAUUUUCAAAAGUGGCUUAGACACUUUGGAGCCUAAGCCUCACUGAAAGUCAAUGGGAUUUAUGCUUCUAAGUCACUUCUGAAAUAGAAUUUAGGCUCUUAAAUCAUUUAGGUGCUUUAGAAAAAUGUUACCACACUGCUAAAUGCUUUAUGAUUACAUUUUAUUUUAAUGACAAAUACAUUGUAGAGAAUAUAUGUGUGCACGUGUACUGAAAUAAAUAAUUUAUUUCUUAAAAUGCUUCACAAAUGAAUUAAAAUAAAAAGAUCUAUACAGUUAUCAAAUUUAUAGGGCCAGAUUAACUCAUGCUUUUCAGUGGUACAAAUCUU